rnacentral:rRNA from 1 species
UAGAGUUUGAUCCUGGCUCAGAACGAACGCUGGCGGCGUGCCUAACACAUGCAAGUCGAACGUGAAAGGGGCUUCGGCCCUGAGUAAAGUGGCGCACGGGUGAGUAAUGCGUAGAUAAUCUACCUGGUGAUCUGGGAUAACAUCUCGAAAGGGGUGCUAAUACCGGAUAAGCCCACGGAGACUUCGGGCUCUGCGGGAAAAGGGGGGGACCUUCGGGCCUUCUGUCAUCGGAUGAGUCUACGUACCAUUAGCUAGUUGGUGGGGUAAAGGCCUACCAAGGCGACGAUGGUUAGCUGGUCUGAGAGGAUGAUCAGCCACACUGGAACUGAGACACGGUCCAGACUCCUACGGGAGGCAGCAGUGGGGAAUUUUGCGCAAUGGGGGAAACCCUGACGCAGCAACGCCGCGUGAGUGAUGAAGGCCUUCGGGUCGUAAAGCUCUGUCAGAGGGGAAGAAAUGUGGGUGGCUAAUAUCCAUACCACUUGACGGUACCCUCAAAGGAAGCACCGGCUAACUCCGUGCCAGCAGCCGCGGUAAUA